AAUGACUUGUCAUACCACCCUGAAUACGCCCGAUCUCGUCUGAUCGCGGAAGCUAAGCAGGGUUGGGCCUGGUUAGUACUUGGAUGGGAGACCGCCUGGGAAUACCAGGUGCUGUAAGUG
rnacentral:rRNA from 1 species